rnacentral:rRNA from 1 species
AUGGGUCGGGGGAAGGUGGAGAUGAGGCGGAUCGAGAACAAGAUAAGCCGGCAGGUGACGUUCGCCAAGCGCCGGAAUGGGCUGCUCAAGAAGGCCUACGAGCUCUCGCUGCUCUGCGACGCCGAGGUCGCCCUCAUCAUCUUCUCCGGCCGCGGCCGCCUCUUCGAGUUCUCAAGCUCCUCAUGCAUGUACAAAACACUUGAGAGAUACCGUACCUGCAACUCCAACUCACAGGAAGCAACACCUCCGCUAGAAAGUGAAAUUAAUUACCAGGAAUAUUUGAAGCUCAAGACCAGAGUUGAAUUUCUUCAAAGUUCACAAAGAAAUAUUCUCGGUGAGGAUCUGGGCCCACUUAGCAUGAAGGAGCUUGACCAGAUAGAGAACCAAAUAGAUGCAUCCCUCAAGCAUAUCAGGUCAAAAAAGAAUCAGGUACUACUCGAUCAGCUAUUUGAACUGAAAAGUAAGGAGCAAGAAUUGCAGGAUGAAAACAAUGACUUGAGGAAGAAGUUGCAAGAUACCACCAGCUGCUGCGGAGAGAAUGCGGUCCAUAUGUCCUGGCAAGACGGAGGGCAGUGUAGCUCCAGAGUACUACAUCCGGAGCAUGAUACCUCCAUGCAAAUUGGGUAUGUUUUUGUACAUGUCAAUCAGUGA